rnacentral:misc_RNA from 1 species
GCAUCAGUUAUCCAGAGCAUAUUAGAUAAUGUAGUCCUGCCAAAAUUGUCUACUGCUGUGGAUUUGUGGGACCCUCGUCGGGAAACUGUUCCAAUCCAUGUUUGGGUGCAUCCAUGGCUGCCGCAGUUGGGACAGAGAUUGGAGUAUUUAUACGAGAAGAUACGUAUGAAGUUGUCUAUGGUUCUUGGUGCUUGGCACCCUAGUGAUACGUCUGCUUAUGCUAUAUUGUCCCCUUGGAAAACUGUGUUUGAUUCAGCUAGUUGGGAAAAUCUUAUGCGCAAAUUUAUAGUUCCUAAGUUGGAGGUUGCA